GAUGAACGCUGGCGGCGUGCUUAACACAUGCAAGUCGAACGUGAGGGUGUAGCAAUAUGCCUGAAAGUGGCGAACGGGUGAGUAACACGUGGAUAACCUGCCCUGGAGUGGGGGAUAACCAUUGGAAACGGUGGCUAAUACCGCAUAGAGCUAUUGAUUUGGGAGAAUCGAUAGGGAAAGCUCCGGCGCUCUGGGAGGGGUCUGCGUCCGAUUAGCUAGUUGGUGAGGUAAAGGCUCACCAAGGCGACGAUCGGUAGCUGGUCUGAGAGGACGAUCAGCCACACGGGAACUGAGACACGGUCCCGACUCCUACGGGGGGCAGCAGUGAGGAAUAUUGGGCAAUGGGCGAGAGCCUGACCCAGCAACGCCGCGUGGAGGAAGACGGCCUUCGGGUUGUAAACUCCUUUUGACGGGGAAGAGAGAGGACGGUACCCGUCGAAUAAGUCACGGCUAACUACGUGCCGGCAGCCGCGGUAAUCUAGUCUACG
rnacentral:rRNA from 1 species